rnacentral:rRNA from 1 species
GACAGAGGGUGCAAACGUUGCUCGGAAUUACUGGGCGUAAAGCGCGUGUAGGUGGAUUGGUGUGUCAGAUGUGAAAUCCCUGGGCUCAACCCAGGAACUGCACCUGAAACUACCAGCCUUGAGUGGUGGAGAGGGAAGUGGAAUUCCUGGUGUAGAGGUGAAAUUCGUAGAUAUCAGGAGGAACACCAGUGGCGAAGGCGGCUUCCUGGACACCAACUGACGCUGAGACGCGAAAGCGUGGGGAGCAAACAGG